rnacentral:snoRNA from 1 species
ACACAUGUGGAAACAUUUGCCCCUCAUUCCUUUGUGGGUGGGAUGUGUCUAUAGUAUGCUACAUUAAAAAGGACUUCUUAGGGCUGCCAACCUUUCAGUAGAGAUUGAGUUGUAGUCUGUUUCUCCUACAAUA